CUCUGGUGAGCUGAAUCUUUCCAUAACUAUCUGAGCAAGAGCUACCUGAAUAAUUCAGAAUGAUUCAGGAAUUCACCCAUACGAAGUGCUUGUCCUGGAUGCUGGUGUUUAGCAAUAUUGGGAUUCAGAUACACAUUGUGAGGUAGUGGCCACUGAUAUAAAAGUGCUGUAAAUUGAGGAAAUGGGAUUAGACUCGAACAACAGCAGCAGUAACAACAGGUCCAGCCUAUUUCAACGUACUUCUUCCUUUUCCCACAAAAUGGACAGUUAUUAACAUCGAAGAGACUGUUAAACUGGGUGUGGGGAGGAGCUUCUAAAAACUCUCUCCACUAAAUGGAAAGGGAGCACAAAAUGCCAUUAAAAUGUAUCACUGCAUACUUCAUCUUCAGCCUCAUUCUGCAACCAUUAUCUAUGUGAGUUACUUCUGAUUUACACUAGGACAGAAAUAACAGCAACAUCAGCAGAAGCAAUGAGGAAGACAGGAGAACAAGAAUGAGGGAUACUCAAACAGCAGAAGGAUCCCUACACAUGACCCAACCUCAGGUCUCUAUAGUGUAAUCAGAUAUUCUGCCACGCACAGGACCUAAUAAUAUAUGGGGGGGACAGGACACAAUGGAGAAUGGGGCAAGUGCCCAGGCUCCCCCUCAGCUCCUGAUUGGGCCAAAUUUGAAUGGCAUUGCAACCAUGUGAGCCACAUCACAACACAACUCACUCAAGAUUGGCCCAUUGUGAUGGAAGGGAGGCUGAGAAAAAUGUGAAUGGUGUUUUAAUCUCAUGUGACACUUCGGCAGCCCUUCCAGAGUCCAUGGGCAGUGGGCUCCUCCAAACUCUGGGGAGAAGUAGAGCAAGGGACAGUGGGAACCCUCUCCCACCAGUCAUCAAGUGGUGUGAGUACUGGAUCCAGGCUUUAGUGUUUUCUGGGGAAGAGAAGAAGCAAGAGGAGAGGAUGGGGCCUGAGGCUCCCAGUACUACCUACCUCCUGGUGUGGAUAAUGCUCUUCAGUCUGACCACCUCUCUGAGUAAGAGCUCGGUGGUGGGUGUGGGAAAACAAGACUGUGGGGCUGCAUUCAGAAGGGAAAGCUUGGAGCUGGAUGCUGGGCAAUGUGGCGGGAAGAGUGCAGCAGUAAGGGAGUUUGUGUGGAGCUGGGUGCAGAGGCAGCAAGAGAUAGCUCAGGACUCGGUAUGGGGGGAAGUGGCAGGGGAAGAGCUUGUGGCUGGGUGCAGGGCAUCAGAGGGAUAGCUCCAAGCCUUCUCUUUAGAAUAUUUUGGGUUACUGGCAGCAAGGGUGAACAGUGUGGUAUUCCCCUUAUUAAAACAUGUGCAAUCUGUAUUAAAAAUUUAUAUUAUUUGUAUAUCUAUAUUAUAUAUAAAACAGCAGAAAGAGCCCAACGUAAACUUCAUCAGGCCACAGUCCUUUCCCUGAUCAGUGCAAGCCAGAGACCCACCUUCCAAAAUGGAGUCUAAUUUUUGGUCUCCAUAGCCACCCCCACCACAUUCAUAUAACAAUACGAGCU